rnacentral:rRNA from 1 species
AGCGGCGAGCGAACGGGGAGGAGCCCAGAGCCUGAAUCAGCAUGUGUGUUAGUGGAAGCGUCUGGAAAGUCGCGCGAUACAGGGUGACAGCCCCGUACACAAAAGCGCAUGUGUUGUGAGCUCGAUGAGUAGGGCGGGACACGUGGUAUCCUGUCUGAAUAUGGGGGGACCAUCCUCCAAGGCUAAAUACUCCUGACUGACCGAUAGUGAACCAGUACCGUGAGGGAAAGGCGAAAAGAACCCCGGCGAGGGGAGUGAAAAAGAACCUGAAACCGUGUACGUACAAGCAGUGGGAGCACCCUUCGGGGUGUGACUGCGUACCUUUUGUAUAAUGGGUCAGCGACUUAUAUUCUGUAGCAAGGUUAACCGAAUAGGGGAGCCGGAGGGAAACCGAGUCUUAAUUGGGCGUUAAGUUGCAGGGUAUAGACCCGAAACCCGGUGAUCUAGCCAUGGGCAGGUUGAAGGUUGGGUAACACUAACUGGAGGACCGAACCGACUAAUGUUGAAAAAUUAGCGGAUGACCUGUGGCUGGGGGUGAAAGGCCAAUCAAACCGGGAGAUAGCUGGUUCUCCCCGAAAGCUAUUUAGGUAGCGCCUCGUGAAUUCAUCUCCGGGGGUAGAGCACUGUUUCGGCUAGGGGGCCAUCCCGGCUUACCAACCCGAUGCAAACUGCGAAUACCGGAGAAUGUUAUCACGGGAGACACACGGCGGGUGCUAACGUCCGUCGUGAAGAGGGAAACAACCCAGACCGCCAGCUAAGGUCCCAAAGUCAUGGUUAAGUGGGAAACGAUGUGGGAAGGCCCAGACAGCCAGGAUGUUGGCUUAGAAGCAGCCAUCAUUUAAAGAAAGCGUAAUAGCUCACUGGUCGAGUCGGCCUGCGCGGAAGAUGUAACGGGGCUAAACCAUGCACCGAAGCUGCGGCAGCGACACUGUGUGUUGUUGGGUAGGGGAGCGUUCUGUAAGCCUGUGAAGGUGUGUCGUGAGGCAUGCUGGAGGUAUCAGAAGUGCGAAUGCUGACAUAAGUAACGAUAAAGCGGGUGAAAAGCCCGCUCGCCGGAAGACCAAGGGUUCCUGUCCAACGUUAAUCGGGGCAGGGUGAGUCGACCCCUAAGGCGAGGCCGAAAGGCGUAGUCGAUGGGAAACGGGUUAAUAUUCCCGUACUUGGUGUUACUGCGAAGGGGGGACGGAGAAGGCUAUGUUGGCCGGGCGACGGUUGUCCCGGUUUAAGCGUGUAGGUGUGUGUUCCAGGUAAAUCCGGUUCACUUUAACACUGAGGCGUGACGACGAGGCACUACGGUGCUGAAGCAACAAAUGCCCUGCUUCCAGGAAAAGCCUCUAAGCAUCAGGUAACAUCAAAUCGUACCCCAAACCGACACAGGUGGUCAGGUAGAGAAUACCAAGGCGCUUGAGAGAACUCGGGUGAAGGAACUAGGCAAAAUGGUGCCGUAACUUCGGGAGAAGGCACGCUGACACGUAGGUGAAGUGAUUUACUCAUGGAGCUGAAGUCAGUCGAAGAUACCAGCUGGCUGCAACUGUUUAUUAAAAACACAGCACUGUGCAAACACGAAAGUGGACGUAUACGGUGUGACGCCUGCCCGGUGCCGGAAGGUUAAUUGAUGGGGUCAGCGCAAGCGAAGCUCCUGAUCGAAGCCCCGGUAAACGGCGGCCGUAACUAUAACGGUCCUAAGGUAGCGAAAUUCCUUGUCGGGUAAGUUCCGACCUGCACGAAUGGCGUAAUGAUGGCCAGGCUGUCUCCACCCGAGACUCAGUGAAAUUGAACUCGCUGUGAAGAUGCAGUGUACCCGCGGCAAGACGGAAAGACCCCGUGAACCUUUACUAUAGCUUGACACUGAACAUUGAGCCUUGAUGUGUAGGAUAGGUGGGAGGCUUUGAAGCGUGGACGCCAGUCUGC